rnacentral:rRNA from 1 species
UGCAAGUCGAACGGCAGCACGGGAGCAAUCCUGGUGGCGAGUGGCGAACGGGUGAGUAAAGCAUCGGAACGUGCCCAGUAGCGGGGGAUAACUACGCGAAAGCGUGGCUAAUACCGCAUACGCCCUACGGGGGAAAGGGGGGGAUCGCAAGACCUCUCACUAUUGGAGCGGCCGAUGUCGGAUUAGCUAGUUGGUGGGGUAAAGGCUCACCAAGGCGACGAUCCGUAGCUGGUUUGAGAGGACGACCAGCCACACUGGGACUGAGACACGGCCCAGACUCCUACGGGAGGCAGCAGUGGGGAAUUUUGGACAAUGGGGGCAACCCUGAUCCAGCCAUGCCGCGUGUGCGAAGAAGGCCUUCGGGUUGUAAAGCACUUUUGGCGGGAAAGAAACGGCGCCGGAUAAUACCUGGCGUAACUGACGGUACCCGCAGAAUAAGCACCGGCUAACUACGUGCCAGCAUCCGCGGUAAUAC